UGCAGUGAGGAUACCAUAGUGGAAAUACAUAUACCCAUUCCGAACAUAAUAGUCAAGCACUAUGGGCUUUUACAGACCUCCAAAGAGAGUCUAUAAAAGUUUACUGCAC
rnacentral:rRNA from 1 species